AUGACUGGAAAAAAAGACGAAGGA
rnacentral:piRNA from 1 species